CUCUCUCUAGCCUCCUGGUUUAGUUUUGCCAACCUUUUUUUUCUAAAGUUUUUGGUGAUAAAAAGCCUGUUAUUCUUUUUCUGUUCUCAUAGUUAAAGUUAUAACGCCAUUGUAGGUACUGAGGCAGAAAAAUGGGAAAUACGGUGUUGGUGGUGUUUGCAACGGAGGAGGUGGUGCAUCUGCCCUUGUUUUAGAGCUUGUGUAAGCCUUUUUCCAUGUUAGGCUGGAUAUGAAGAAGGUUGGGAGAUGAGAAUCUGUUGGCAUCAAAGUCCGAUGUUUGUUUUGCAAUUUCAUCUUCAUCUUCUCCUCCAUUUUUUGGCUUUCUCUAGAAUAAACUAUAAUUGUAUUUAUCUUCUGAAAGAAAUAUAGUUGGUUUCUAAUA